CUCCGUUCAGUCGUUGCAUAUCGGUCUUACAGACGGCAUUAUUGCAACUGUGAGUUGAAGGUUUUGUUACUUGUUGUUGUUGUACUUUAAAAUUUGCAAUGAAAUCGACGACAAAGACCAUUUUGCAUUGGUUUGUGGUGUCAAAUGCAACUGUGAUAUUUAUUGUUUCAACAAUCUGCAUAGUUUUUGCUUUAUUCGAACCCUACGACCCUUUCGUUCUUCUAUUUGUCAUAUGUAUGAGCAUACCGACAAUCACUAAUGGUCUACUGUUAUAUGGAAUUUACAAGAAAUCGGCGGCUUUCAUCUCUCCAUGGCUUCUAUGCAGUUUCGUUGUCAUGGUAUUUAUGACCCAUUCCAUAAUUAGAACUCUCCAAGCAAUUAUGAAGGAAGAAGCGAGCUAUAUUUUCAUGCAAUCAGCUGCGUACAUUUAUUCUGUCUGCUUGACCAUUGCCGUUACGAUUUAUUACCGACAAAUUAAAUAUUAUCAGUUCGAACCUAUGCUACUAGUAGAGACGAAGGAAUAUUAUUGAACAUUUUACAGAUGCUCUCGAAUUUAGAGAAUGAAUAAAUAUUUCCAGACAUAAA